UCAUUUGACCACAAAGUUUGACUGCCAGGA
rnacentral:piRNA from 2 species